CGCACAGUAAACGAUGAAUACUAGCUGUUUGCGAUAUACAGUAAGUGGCACAGCGAAAGCGUUAAGUAUUCCACCUGGGGAGUACGCCGGCAACGGUGAAACUCAAAGGAAUUGACGGGGGCCCGCACAAGCGGAGGAACAUGUGGUUUAAUUCGAUGAUACGCGAGGAACCUUACCCGGGCUUGAAUUGCAGUGGAAUGUAGCGGAAACGUUGCAGUCAGCAAUGACCACUGUGAAGGUGC
rnacentral:rRNA from 1 species